CGCACAAGCGGUGGAGUAUGUGGUUUAAUUCGACGCAACGCGAAGAACCUUACCAGGUCUUGACAUUGAUGGACAGAACUAGAGAUAGUUCCUCUUCUUCGGAAGCCAGAAAACAGGUGGUGCACGGUUGUCGUCAGCUCGUGUCGUGAGAUGUUGGGUUAAGUCCCGCAACGAGCGCAACCCCUAUCUUAUGUUGCCAGCACUUCGGGUGGGAACUCAUGAGAGACUGCCGCAGACAAUGCGGAGGAAGGCGGGGAUGACGUCAAAUCAUCAUGCCCCUUAUGACCUGGGCUACACACGUACUACAAUGGGAGUUAAUAGACGGAAGCAAUACCGCGAGGUGGAGCAAACCCGAGAAACACUCUCUCAGUUCGGAUCGUAGGCUGCAACUCGCCUACGUGAAGUCGGAAUCGCUAGUAAUCGCAGGUCAGCAUACUGCGGUGAAUACGUUCCCGGGCCUUGUACACACCGCCCGUCACACCACGAAAGUCGGAAGUGCCCAAAGCCGGUGGGGUAACCUUCGGGAGCCAGCCGUCUAAGGUAAAGUCGAUGAUUGGGGUGAAGUCGUAACAAGGUAGCCGUAUCGGAAGGUGCGGCUGGAUCACCUCCUUUCUAGGGAGA
rnacentral:rRNA from 1 species